CCUACGGGAGGCAGCAGUGGGGGAUAUUGCACAAUGGGGGGAACCCUGAUGCAGCGACGCCGCGUGGGUGAAGAAGCGCCUCGGCGCGUAAAGCCCUGUCAGCAGGGAAGAAAAUGACGGUACCUGAAGAAGAAGCCACGGCUAACUACGUGCCAGCAGCCGCGGUAAUACGUAGGGGGCAAGCGUUAGCCGGAUUUACUGGGUGUAAAGGGGGCGCAGACGGCGAUGCAAGCCAGGAGUGAAAGCCCGGGGCUCCACCCCGGGACUGCUCUUGGAAAUGCGUGGCUGGUGUGCAGGAGGGGCAGGCGGAAUUCCUGGUGUAGCGGUGAAAUGCGUAGAUAUCAGGAGGAACACCGGUGGCGAAGGCGGCCUGCUGGACUGCAACUGACGUUGAGGCCCGAAAGCGUGGGGAGCAAACAGGAUUAGAUACCCCUGUAGUC
rnacentral:rRNA from 1 species